UACGUAGGUGGCAAGCGUUGUCCGGAAUUACUGGGUGUAAAGGGCGUGUAGGCGGGACUGCAAGUCAGAUGUGAAAUUCGCAGGCUCAACCUGGGGGCUGCAUCUGAAACUGUGGAUCUUGAGUGCUGGAGAGGAAAGCGGAAUUCCUAGUGUAGCGGUGAAAUGCGUAGAUAUUAGGAGGAGCACCAGUGGCGAAGGCGGCUUUCUGGACAGUAACUGACGCUGAGGCGCGAAAGCGUGGGGAGCAAACAGG
rnacentral:rRNA from 1 species